rnacentral:rRNA from 1 species
CCGUAGCCCAAGAGAUCGGGAUAACACCUGGAAACAGAUGCUAAUACCGGAUAACAACAGAUGAUGCCUAUCAACUGUUUAAAAGAUGGUUCUGCUAUCACUCUUGGAUGGACCUGCGGUGCAUUAGCUAGUUGGUAGGGUAACGGCCUACCAAGGCGAUGAUGCAUAGCCGAGUCGAGAGACUGAUCGGCCACAUUGGGACUGAGACGCGGCCCAAACUCCUACGGGAGGCAGCAGCC